CAGUAGCCGCGGGAAAACGAAGGGUGCAAGCGUUACUCGGAAUUACUGGGCGUAAAGCGUGCGUAGGUGGUGGUUUAAGUCCGUUGUGAAAGCCCUUGGCUCAACCUGGGAAUUGCAGUGGAUACUGGGUCACUAGAGUGUGGUAGAGGAUAGUGGAAUUUCCGGUGUAGCAGUGAAAUGCGUAGAGAUCGGAAGGAACAUCUGUGGCGAAGGCGACUAUCUGGGCCAACACUGACACUGAGGCACGAAAGCGUGGUGAGCAAACAGGAUUAGAUACCCGGGUAGUCCCUGUCUCUUAUAU
rnacentral:rRNA from 1 species